rnacentral:pre_miRNA from 1 species
GGAGGAUGGUGAUGGAGAUGGUGAUGAUGAAUACGAUGAUGACCAUCAUCAUCGUCAUCGUCAUCAUCAUCAUCAUCUUCAUCAUCA